GGAAGUAAAAGUCGUAACAAGGUUGGCCCCGGGUUUACUCUGCAGCCGCAAAGAAAGUAAUCUCACCUUCGGGAAGCCUUGUAGUCCAGUCUGCCGCGGUGCGGGCAACAUCAGUCUGUUGCCAGGGUCGACACUCCUGGAGAGUAUGUCUAACUGGCAGUCGUUCACGGCGAUUCACAGAUCAAACACUGGUGGUCUACGCGCUUUACAAAGCUCCGACUGAAAGCUUUGGGCCGGUUAGAUUCUGACAUGACCGGUCAUUCUCCGCCCAAAGAAGAAUGGUGAAAUGUUCCGUAGGUGAACCUGCGGAAGGAUCAUUA
rnacentral:rRNA from 1 species